rnacentral:rRNA from 1 species
GACGAACGCUGGCGGCGUGCUUAACACAUGCAAGUCGAACGGAAAGGCCCUGCUUUUGUGGGGUGCUCGAGUGGCGAACGCGUGCGUAACACGUGAGUAACCUGACCUUGACUUUGGGAUAACUUCAGGAAACUGGGGCUAAUACCGGAUAGGAGCUCCUGCUGCAUGGUGGGGGUUGGAAAGUCUCGGCGGUUGUGGAUGGACUCGCGGCUUAUCAGCUUGUUGGUGGGGUAGUGGCUUACCAAGGCUUUGACGGGUAGCCGGCCUGAGAGGGUGACCGGCCACAUUGGGACUGAGAUACGGCCCAGAGUGCUACGGGAGGCAGCAGUGGGGAAUAUUGCACAAUGGGCGGAAGCCUGAUGCAGCAGCGCCGCGUGCGGGAUGACGGCCUUCGGGUUGUAAACCGCUUUCGCCUGUGACGAAGCGUGAGUGACGGUAAUGGGUAAAGAAGCACCGGCUAACUACGUG